rnacentral:tRNA from 1 species
GCCUGGGUGGCUCAGUCGGUUAAGUGUCUGACUUCGGCUCAGGUCAUGAUCUCACGGUUCGUGAGUUCAAGUCCCGUGUCAGGCU